rnacentral:misc_RNA from 1 species
AACACUGUUAACCUGCGGUACCUGCGGAAGGAUCAUUACCGAGUUAGGGUGCUUCGCGCGCCCGACCUCCAACCCUUUGUCUACCUGACCAGAUGUUGCUUCGGCAGGCCCGCCGCCUCUCCUUCGCGGGGGGAUGGCCGCCGGGGGCCCUUACCGGUCCCGGGCCCGUGCCUGUCGACGGCCCUUCUCAAACUCUUGCUUAAAACGUGUCGUCUGAGUACUACAAACAAAAUAAAAACA